AUUUUUAUAGUGUAAUUAACACAUAACAUUUUCAUUGUUAUAAAGCUUCCUUAGCUAAAAAUA
rnacentral:tRNA from 1 species